rnacentral:rRNA from 1 species
UACGUAGGGGGCGAGCGUUGUCCGGAUUUACUGGGCGUAAAGCGCGUGUAGGCGGCUGCUUAAGUUGGGUGUGAAAGCCCGGGGCUCAACCCCGGGACGCCGCCCAAGACUGGGUAGCUUGAGGACGGAAGAGGGGCGUGGAAUUCCAGGUGUAGCGGUGAAAUGCGUAGAGAUCUGGAGGAACACCCGUGGCGAAGGCGGCGCCCUGGUCCGUUUCUGACGCUGAGACGCGAAAGCGCGGGGAGCGAACGGG